rnacentral:rRNA from 1 species
CGCUGGCGGCGUGCCUAAUACAUGCAAGUAGAACGCUGAAGAGAGGAGCUUGCUCUUCUUGGAUGAGUUGCGAACGGGUGAGUAACGCGUAGGUAACCUGCCUUGUAGCGGGGGAUAACUAUUGGAAACGAUAGCUAAUACCGCAUAACAAUGGAUGACACAUGUCAUUUAUUUGAAAGGGGCAAUUGUUCCACUACAAGAUGGACCUGCGUUGUAUUAGCUAGUAGGUGAGGUAAUGGCUCACCUAGGCGACGAUACAUAGCCGACCUGAGAGGGUGAUCGGCCACACUGGGACUGAGACACGGCCCAGACUCCUACGGGAGGCAGCAGUAGGGAAUCUUCGGCAAUGGGGGCAACCCUGACCGAGCAACGCCGCGUGAGUGAAGAAGGUUUUCGGAUCGUAAAGCUCUGUUGUAAGUCAAGAACGGGUGUGAGAGUGGAAAGUUCACACUGUGACGGUAGCUUACCAGAAAGGGACGGCUAACUACGUGCCAGCAGCCGCGGUAAUACGUAGGUCCCGAGCGUUGUCCGGAUUUAUUGGGCGUAAAGCGAGCGCAGGCGGUUUGAUAAGUCUGAAGUUAAAGGCUGUGGCUCAACCAUAGUUCGCUUUGGAAACUGUCAAACUUGAGUGCAGAAGGGGAGAGUGGAAUUCCAUGUGUAGCGGUGAAAUGCGUAGAUAUAUGGAGGAACACCGGUGGCGAAAGCGGCUCUCUGGUCUGUAACUGACGCUGAGGCUCGAAAGCGUGGGGAGCGAACAGGAUUAGAUACCCUGGUAGUCCACGCCGUAAACGAUGAGUGCUAGGUGUUGGAUCCUUUCCGGGAUUCAGUGCCGCAGCUAACGCAUUAAGCACUCCGCCUGGGGAGUACGACCGCAAGGUUGAAACUCAAAGGAAUUGACGGGGGCCCGCACAAGCGGUGGAGCAUGUGGUUUAAUUCGAAGCAACGCGAAGAACCUUACCAGGUCUUGACAUCCCGAUGCUAUUUCUAGAGAUAGAAAGUUACUUCGGUACAUCGGUGACAGGUGGUGCAUGGUUGUCGUCAGCUCGUGUCGUGAGAUGUUGGGUUAAGUCCCGCAACGAGCGCAACCCCUAUUGUUAGUUGCCAUCAUUCAGUUGGGCACUCUAGCGAGACUGCCGGUAAUAAACCGGAGGAAGGUGGGGAUGACGUCAAAUCAUCAUGCCCCUUAUGACCUGGGCUACACACGUGCUACAAUGGUUGGUACAACGAGUUGCGAGUCGGUGACGGCGAGCUAAUCUCUUAAAGCCAAUCUCAGUUCGGAUUGUAGGCUGCAACUCGCCUACAUGAAGUCGGAAUCGCUAGUAAUCGCGGAUCAGCACGCCGCGGUGAAUACGUUCCCGGGCCUUGUACACACCGCCCGUCACACCACGAGAGUUUGUAACACCCGAAGUCGGUGAGGUAACCUUUUGGAGCCAGCCGCCUAAGGUGGGACAGAUGAUUGGGGUGA